rnacentral:rRNA from 1 species
GAUGAACGCUGGCGGCGUGCCUAAUACAUGCAAGUCGAGCGAACAGACGAGGAGCUUGCUCCUCUGACGUUAGCGGCGGACGGGUGAGUAACACGUGGAUAACCUACCUAUAAGACUGGGAUAACUUCGGGAAACCGGAGCUAAUACCGGAUAAUAUAUUGAACCGCAUGGUUCAAUAGUGAAAGACGGUUUUGCUGUCACUUAUAGAUGGAUCCGCGCCGCAUUAGCUAGUUGGUAAGGUAACAGCUUACCAAGGCAACGAUGCGUAGCCGACCGGAGAGGGUGAUCGGCCACACUGGAACUGAGACACGGUCCAGACUCCUACGGGAGGCAGCAGGAGGGAAUCUUCCGCAAUGGGCGAAAGCCUGACGGAGCAACGCCGCGUGAGUGAUGAAGGUCUUCGGAUCGGAAAACUCUGUUAUUAGGGAAGAACAAAUGUGUAAGUAACUAUGCACGUCUUGACGGUUCCUAAUCAGAAAGCCACGGCUAACUACGUG